rnacentral:rRNA from 1 species
GAUGAACGCUAGCGGCAGGCUUAACACAUGCAAGUCGAGGGGUAUGCUUCUUCGGAAGCAGAGACCGGCGCACGGGUGCGUAACGCGUAUGCAAUCUACCUUUUACAGAGGGAUAGCCCAGAGAAAUUUGGAUUAAUACCUCAUAGUAUUAUAGAAUGGCAUCAUUUUAUAAUUAAAGUCACAACGGUAAAAGAUGAGCAUGCGUCCCAUUAGCUAGUUGGAAGGUAACGGCUUACCAAGGCUACGAUGGGUAGGGGUCCUGAGAGGGAGAU